rnacentral:misc_RNA from 1 species
UGUGAUGUUCCUGUGGCCCCCAG